GACACGACCGUACCGCAAGCCGACACUGGUGCGCGAGAUGAGUAUUCUAAGGCGCUUGAGAGAACUCAGGAGAAGGAACUCGGCAAAUUGACACCGUAACUUCGGAAGAAGGUGUGCCUUUAGUAGGUGAACCAUUUACUUGGGGAGCCCAAUGAGGCUGCAAAAAAUCGGUGGCUGCAACUGUUUAUUAAAAACACAGCACUCUGCUAAGACGAAAGUCGACGUAUAGGGUGUGACGCCUGCCCGGUGCUGGAAGAUUAAAUGAUGGGGUGCAAGCUCUUGAUUGAAGUCCCAGUAAACGGCGGCCGUAACUAUAACGGUCCUAAGGUAGCGAAAUUCCUUGUCGGGUAAGUUCCGACCUGCACGAAUGGCGUAAUGAUGGCCACACUGUCUCCUCCUGAGACUCAGCGAAGUUGAAAUGUUUGUGAUGAUGCAAUCUCCCCGCGGAAAGACGGAAAGACCCCAUGAACCUUUACUGUAGCUUUGUAUUGGACUUUGAACAGAUCUGUGUAGGAUAGGUGGGAGGCUUUGAAGUGUGGUCGCUAGAUCGCAUGGAGCCAACGUUGAAAUACCACCCUGGUGUGUUUGAGGUUCUAACCUAGGUCCAUUAUCUGGAUCGGGGACAGUGCAUGGUAGGCAGUUUGACUGGGGCGGUCUCCUCCCAAAGUGUAACGGAGGAGUUCGAAGGUACGCUAGGUACGGUCGGACAUCGUGCUAAUAGUGCAAUGGCAUAAGCGUGCUUAACUGCGAGACUGACAAGUCGAGCAGAUGCGAAAGCAGGACAUAGUGAUCCGGUGGUUCUGUAUGGAAGGGCCAUCGCUCAACGGAUAAAAGGUACUCUGGGGAUAACAGGCUGAUACCGCCCAAGAGUUCAUAUCGACGGCGGUGUUUGGCACCUCGAUGUCGGCUCAUCUCAUCCUGGGGCUGUAGCCGGUCCCAAGGGUAUGGCUGUUCGCCAUUUAAAGAGGUACGUGAGCUGGGUUUAAAACGUCGUGAGACAGUUUGGUCCCUAUCUUCCGUGGGCGCUGCAGAUUUGAGGAAGCCUGCUCCUAGUACGAGAGGACCGGAGUGGACGAACCUCUGGUGUAUCGGUUGUCACGCCAGUGGCAUUGCCGAGUAGCUAAGUUCGGAAGAGAUAACCGCUGAAAGCAUCUAAGCGGGAAACUCGUUUCAAGAUUAGAUCUGCCGGGGCCUUGAGCCCCCUAAAGAGUCGUUCAAGACCAGGACGCUGAUAGGUCAGGUGUGGAAGC
rnacentral:rRNA from 1 species